ensembl:lncRNA
AUUAUAAAGGAGAACAGCAAGAGGUCCCCAGGAAACAUCCACAGAUGGCAUUGGAAAUAAGUCACCUUCUGAGAAGCAUGUCAUGUUCUGGGAGGGCUAAGGCAUCAAGUAAGGCCUAUGGGGUUGGAGGAUCCCUGGGCAGGUGGGGCAAUCCACAGCCUUGGGUUCUUCCCAUGGGAAUCGGGAGGUCUUGAGGCAGAGGCAGUGGUCCCACAGGAGGAGUCACAGAGCCACCAAGGGCUCUUCUGGCCCAGGGAGCAGUCAACACCAUGGACUGAACACGUGCUGGGCUCAAAGUCCUGGUCCAGACUGGGGCAUGUGGGGCCAGGAUGGAACUCGGAGUGGAAGACAGAGAGACAAGUGUGCUCAGAGGGCAGCCAUUUCUGGAAGUAGUGUGGUCCAGAGAUUUUGGCUGGGAAGGGCUUCCAGGGUUUCAUAUGUGUUGUGGAGCUGCUUCCUCUCCCCAGCCUCACCCUGCAGAAAUGCCAGUGAAUAUGUUGCCGCCAUCUUGGAGCUCAGUGCCCUCAUAGUGUAAUGGCAGCAGCAGAUCUGCCUGUGCAUGGACUUCCUGUACUACCUCAUUCCUGAGGAGCAAUGCUUCUGCAGGGCCUCUGACUUGGUGCACAACUUCAGACACCAUCAUCCUGGAGCAGUACUGCACCCUCUGGGGAGCCAUGGAAGAUGCUGGAUAAAGGAGUGACAGUCAGAUUCAUCUUAGAGAUGACUGUAGAAGGCUGCCUAGGAGUGAACAAGAGCCAGGAGACCAGGGAGGGAGCUUGUGGGGCAGGUCUGGAGAUGGCAAGGGAGGGAUCCUGCUUGGAUGAAAGGUCUUCAGGCACUGUCUCAGGUUACACUCAGGUGCCCUCAGAGCUAGUACAUUCAGAGUCUUGCCUCCACGAUGAAAAUGGGAAGGAGUUGUCAGACGAGGACAUAGAAAUGGAGGCUGGCAUAUUCAUGAAUGCCGGUGGUGGUCUCGGUGUGGGACUACUGUGGGAACAGGGGUCCUUCCAUUCAGGGAUGUGGUGGAUGGACCCUACAUCACUCCAUUCUGCCCUUCUUUUCCCUCCUCUCAUUCUCCCAAAAGCCUCAGUGCAUGAGUGCUGUCCAUCCUCUGGUGCUGAAGCAGCCAAGAGUCACAAGCCUGCCUGGCUGCCUCUGGGUAUGACAGCAGAGCCAGUGGCCUCUACUGGAUCUUGUACAACUCCACAAGACACCCAGACACCGGGAGUGCUGCCAGCACGUGGUGCAACAGUCCUGAGGGACCACAGUCCUGAAGACAUUGAAUGGCUGUGCUCAUUGCUGGAAGUGCUGUCAGGGCCCUUGCCGUUGACCCUCCAGGUCUCAUUCUUGCAGUGCAGGCAGGGCAUUCUGGAGGAAUCAUGCCCUUGGAAGAAGCCCUGA